rnacentral:rRNA from 1 species
UACGGAGGGUGCGAGCGUUGUUCGGAAUCACUGGGCUUAAAGCGCGUGUAGGCGGGAUGGAAGGUGCUUUGUGAAAGCCCCCGGCUCAACCGGGGAAUUGCUUGGCAAACCGACAUCCUUGAGGCAGGUAGAGGUGAGUGGAACGACUGGUGGAGCGGUGAAAUGCGUAGAUAUCAGUUGGAACGCCUGAGGCGAAAGCGGCUCACUGGACCUGUCCUGACGCUCAGACGCGAAAGCGUGGGUAGCAAACAGG